rnacentral:tRNA from 1 species
GGGGAUGUAGUUCAAUUGAUAGAACAUUAAUCAAAGCUGAUAAAAGGCACGGGUUUGACUCCUCGCAUCUCCA